rnacentral:lncRNA from 1 species
AACAAAUAUUAUCUGCUCGUACUACAUGCGCAUUAGAUUGUGUCCCAAUUAGUUGACUUUAGGGGUAAAUUUUUGUCAGUUUUGAUUUUUCACAAAGUAAUUUUCUUCUUUUUCUAUUUUUGUUUGCACUCAGCCACUGAAGUUGGAAUGCGUCAACACGCUUGCUAGAUAUGAGAAAGAGGGGGAAAUGGAAAAUAGAGAAUAACCGUGUGUUGAAAUAUCAAGAAUAGAAAUAAAAGGCAAAUCAAUAAGAAAGAGAAAAAGGAGUAUACAAGUUUUAUCUAAAAGAUUAUGAACUCCCAUCCAUAGUAUACCCAUUGGCGGAUCCCGAGAAAUUUUCAUAAGUAGGGGCCCACUGAC